rnacentral:rRNA from 1 species
UAGGGAAUCUUCGGCAAUGGGGGCAACCCUGACCGAGCAACGCCGCGUGAGUGAAGAAGAUUUUCGGAUCGUAAAGCUCUGUUGUAAGAGAAGAACGUGUGUGAGAGUGGAAAGUUCACACAGUGACGGUAACUUACCAGAAAGGGACGGCUAACUACGUGCCUAG